rnacentral:ncRNA from 2 species
CUUUAAUGUUGGCGUGACGGUUGGCCCUCGGCGAAAGCUGAGUGGUCAUGAAAAGGGAACGCGGUGCGGCGCUUCUUGCGCCAAUGCCGAGACUGCCCUCGCAACUGUAAGCGGCGAGUCGGCUCCGACUAAAAGCCACUGAAGAUCUCGCAAUAGAGAUAUUCGGGAAGGCCGGAGAAGACGCCUGAGCCGCAAGUCAGGAGACCUGCCGGCACAAGCUGCCCAUC